rnacentral:pre_miRNA from 1 species
AAUAAAUGCAGCCAUAAAUAUCCGUGUUUAGCACUUUGACCAUCCGUCUUAUUUAAAAAAAUUAUGAAAAAUAUUAAAAAAAUUAGUCACACAUAAAGUACUAUUCAUGUUUUAUUAUCUAAUAACAAUAAAAAUACCUCUUUUUUCAAAUAAGACAAACGGUCAAACGUUGAACAUGAAUAGUGCUAAAACUGCACUUAUU